GACGAACGCUGGCGGCGUGCUUAACACAUGCAAGUCGAACGGAAAGGCCCUGCUUUUGUGGGGUGCUCGAGUGGCGAACGGGUGAGUAACACGUGAGUAACCUGCCCUUGACUUUGGGAUAACUCCAGGAAACUGGGGCUCAUACCGGAUAGGAGCUCCUGCUGCAUGGUGGGGGUUGGAAAGUUUCGGCGGUUUGGGAUGGACUCGCGGCUUAUCAGCUUGUUGGUGGGGUAGUGGCUUACCAAGGCUUUGACGGGUAGCCGGCCUGAGAGGGUGACCGGCCACAAUGGGACUGAGAUACGGCCCAGACUCCUACGGGAGGCAGCAGGGGAGAAUAUGGCACAAUGGGCGGAAGCCUGAUGCAGCAACGCCGGGUGCGGGAUGACGGCCUUCGGGUGGUAAACCGCUUUCGCCUGUGACGAAGCGUGAGUGACGGUAAUGGGUAAAGAAGCACCGGCUAACUACGUG
rnacentral:rRNA from 1 species